AGGACGAACGCUGGCGGCGUGCUUCAUACGAUGCAAGUCGAACGAGAAAUUACCUUCGGGUAAUGGAAAGUGGCGGACGGGUGAAUAAUAUGUAGAGAAUCUGCCUUCGAAGCGGGGGAUAGCAGUUGGAAACGACUAUUAAUACCCCAUAUGAGCGUAACUGAAAUGUUAUUCUUGAAAACUCCGGUGCUUGGAGAUGAGUCUGCAUCUGAUUAGCUAGUUGGGGGUGUAAUGGACCACCAAGGCGACGAUCAGUAGCUGGUUUGAGAGGAUGAUCAGCCACAAUGGGACUGAGACACGGCCCAUACUCCUACGGGAGGCAGCAGUAGGGAAUUUUGCGCAAUGGGCGAAAGCCUGACGCAAGCAACGCCGCGUGAUCGAGACGCUUUUCGGAGUGUAAAGAUCUGUCACAGGGGACGAACGAUGACGGUACCCUGAGAGGAAGCACCGGCUAACUCCGUGCCAGCAGCCGC
rnacentral:rRNA from 1 species